UACGGAGGGGGCUAGCGUUGUUCGGAAUUACUGGGCGUAAAGCGCACGUAGGCGGCUUUGUAAGUUAGAGGUGAAAGCCCAGGGCUCAACCCUGGAAUUGCCUUUAAGACUGCAUCGCUUGAACGCGGGAGAGGUGAGUGGAAUUCCGAGUGUAGAGGUGAAAUUCGUAGAUAUUCGGAAGAACACCAGUGGCGAAGGCGGCUCACUGGACCGUUGUUGACGCUGAGGUGCGAAAGCGUGGGGAGCAAACAGG
rnacentral:rRNA from 1 species